UACAGAGGUCUCAAGCGUCGUUCGGAUUCAUUGGGCGUAAAGGGCGCGUAGGCGGCCAGUGCAAGUCAGUUGUGAAAUCUCCGAGCUUAACUCGGAAAGGUCAACUGAUACUGCUCGGCUAGAGUGCGGAAGGGGCAACUGGAAUUCUUGGUGUAGCGGUGAAAUGCGUAGAUAUCAAGAGGAACACCUGCGGCGAAGGCGGGUUGCUGGGCCGACACUGACGCUGAAGCGCGAAAGCCAGGGGAGCGAACGGG
rnacentral:rRNA from 1 species